CAUUAUUUUAAAAAAGCAUGCUCUCAGGGCUGGCUCAGUUCUCAAAUCAAGCAUUUAAAAUGUUUUCCAGCUUCUCCACAGCCUUGCUCUGUGGCACUGCUACCAGGUACAUCCCCCAAGCACGGCACAGCUAAGAAGAGCCCCGCUAAAUCAGGCCAGCCCAUCCAGGAACCAGUUUCACACAGCGGCUAGCAAGGGAGCCUUAAGGUGAGCUCUGUGUCAUGGAGAAAAUUCCAGAAGUGUUCAGCAUCCCUCAUCAUCCCCUGUUUUGUAUUCCAACAGCCUCAUUUCUCUCUCACACUUUAUUUAUUUAUUUAGGGUUUGGGUUUUAUAUAUAUAUAUUAAAAAAGAGGAUUAAGUUGAUAGGUCAUUUGCUCCUUCACACACACACACACACACACACACACACACACACACAAACUAUAUGUUUCAUAUAUGUUCUGGCUACUGGUCAACCCCAUUGGUCCUCAGGUCAUCUACAGCAGAGUCCAGUGAAUGAGAGGAGGAGGAAGAUGAAGAGGAAGACUAAGAGCCUUAUUCAAUUUUGCUUAUACACGUAAUGGCCAGUAACAUAAUGCCCGCCUGUGUUGUGAGUUAACCUGUAUGUGCUGCCAACCUCUGGCCUGGCAUUUACUCUCAGUUUUUCUCUCUUUUUUCCCAGUCUUAAAUUUAGCCCUCCACAUUUCGACACCAGUUUGUGAUUUAAAAACAACAACAACAAAACAGCCACAAGCAUUCAUGAAAAUUCAGCAACAUUUUAAUCAAAUGUCUCUUAAUACACAUGUUCUUGUUUUUAAUUUUGCCUAAUAUACCCAUUUUUGGAAGCAAAAAUUAUAUGAUCCAUUUUUAUAUGCUGUUUUCUCUAGCAAAUGCAUUGUUAUAAGUACCCCAUCCUGUCUUUCAAAUGCACACUUUGCAUAACUCAGGGCAGAAAAGUAAUUACCUGAUGCCAAUCAGUCAUGAAACCAUGUUAUAUUUUUGGAGCUUUUUCUUGUUUUUAAAAAGUUUAUAUGCUUUAAGAAAAUGUAAUAUGGACCAUUAAGCAUCUCCCAAGAAGAUCUUUUCCGGGCGUAUAUAUCAUUUGUUUCAGUCAAAACUAUUUUUCAUUUCGCCAUUUCUGAAUACAUUUCGUAUAAUAUACUGCACAAAGAUAUGAGUGGGAAAGAUCCAUAGCCUAUGUGUACCAAUGAUGCAUGGAAACUAUUAAGCCCUCUCAGGAGUGAACAGAAAUAUCAUCAGUAUCCUUCAGUGUGAGAAAUUGGAUUUACUUUACUCCCUAGGUAGCACUGGGCGCGACGUCUACGAGGCAGCUGCAUCCUGAUACGGUGCAUGGGAAUAGGUGUAGUAAUUCAUUCAACAUCAUGUUCGUAAGAUUGAAUCUGUUACUUGAAAACACCACGCUCUAGAUUGUCAAACUAGAGGCAGGUGGCAGGGAUGAGAAAUCAUAUCACACCUAGUGCUUAAUUUUUAUUUUUUUAAAGUUUGGGAUCAGGUAUUCCAGGAACCUUUAGCGUUGUCUCCAACUAAGUUUCCAACUCAGAGUCGACCCAUCGAAAUAAAUGUCCCUAACUUGGUCCUGUUUAUAAUUUCAGUAGGUCUACUCUGAGUAGGACUAGCAUUGGAUAAAACCCACUGCUUUUGGCAUCUUGAGACUCAUCCACCCUUCCGACUUCUAGGCACGGGUCUGAGAUGUUCUUCUUUCGUCCCGCUGCUUUUCCUGGGAAAACCUGCUGGUGACUGCUGAACUGGAACAAAUGUCCACCAGGUUUUCUGCAGAUGGACAUUUGUUUCAGUUCAGCAGUAAACCUCAGGCAAAGUGGCAGGACAAAAGAAAAACCUCCAGGACCUGGAAAGCCAUGGAACGAAUGGAAGAAAUUGCGGGACAAAGGGAAAUGUCCCCAAUUUAAUCUCCAGCCAAUCUUGAUCUCCUCCUUUGACCUCCAUCUGACCUCCUCCCCCCACCAAAUGGACAUGGCAUCCUUUCGGCCUGCUUGUUAUGUGCACGCUAGUCAGUUGUGCCGAAUGCAGUUUUGGGUACCUGGGUUACAAAACCUGUCUCCUCUUCGCGUUACCAGCACUAGUUCCGUUACUGUUAGUCUGUUGAUCUAAAUGCAGAUUAAAACGUAAAUCGGUUUAAAUUAUGAGAGUUAAAGAAAGAGGCAGAGAGGGAACCACCACCACCUUUUCAUUAAAAAAACACCAUAGGUUUCAGCCCAAAGGUGUUCUUACAUGAGUCCCCUGAUUUCACUAAGGAUUUUGCUCCAAGUUUAGGCUCCCAAAACAUGUGCCACACCACUCCAAACAGUUCCCAACUCUCAGAAGCAUCACUGAGGGACAUGUAUGUGACAGAGACCUGCAGGAGGAAGGUAGGUCUGUUACCAUAGGGUAGUUUUGUGUAAUUUUUGGUUGCAAUUCCUUGCAUUGUAUAUUAUUUGUGGUUUUUUGUGUGCAAUGCUUUAGGCAUGGCACACCAUGAAAAAGCAACAAGCUAAGUUCUUUGGACACAUGAAAGUGCUAUACAAAUGCUUCUUUCCCCCAUUUUCAUCUUCACCAUUAUUAUAUAAUAAUGUAGCCAAUUUUGCACAGGUGAAAAGCAUUUGGCUCUUUCCCUGCCAGCCUGUUUGUAUGCCCUUUCAAAUCAGACAAAGUUGUGCAGGGAGAAUAAAACUGAAGCAGAUACAAAGACCAUUAGAAUCACUGAAGAGCACCUGUGCCCCCGUUUUCCCUAUCCAAUCUAUUUUUUAAAGUUCUAUGUGCAAGGAUAGUUGAGCUUUCCCCCCUUUAAGAGCUGCAUCUCCUUGCUGCAAAGUUGCCCCUUUAAGGAGGAUUUCAUUGACUGCUCUCUAAUUUGUAUUUUUAUGGUUUUAUUGCACAUGGUAGUUGUGCAGUUUCAGUGAAUCGCUGCCGAACCUGGAUCAAUGGAAGCUGCAGUGCUAAUCGAUGUCUCAAAGCAAAUACCUUUUUGAAGCAGAACAAUUCCACGCAAGCCUUGUUUACUACUCCCAAGAAGGUUAAUCAUUCUGCAGGGAUUCAGCUCAUCAAUCCCCCCGCUGAAGCAAACUGACCCCUGCAGACAUCAGCAAAGCACUCAUUGAAAUAAAUCUCUGCAAUCCCUGAGCCUGAUUCUGUCCUCCUCACUUACCCAGUGAUCCUAAAUACAUCUGAUGGAAGGCCGUCUCAUUGAUUCCAAUGGAUUUUUACCUCCAGGUAAGUGUGCUAAGGAGCACAUCUUUAGUCUGUGUUUUCAAAGACAUAACUCUAUUGUCUUCAUUACAAAACACUUGACCUUCACAUAAUGCAGACCACAUGUCAAAAGUAAUUUGAUUCAAUAAAAGAUCCCAG
rnacentral:lncRNA from 1 species